AACGAACGCUGGCGGCGCGCCUAACACAUGCAAGUCGAACGAGAAUCCGGGGCAACCCGGUAGUAAAGUGGCAAACGGGUGAGGAAUACAUGGGUAACCUACCCUUGAGAAGGGAAUAACCCGCCGAAAGGUGAGCUAAUACCCUAUACGCUAUCUUUUUUUCGAAAAGGAUAGGAAAGCCGGGUCGAGGACCUGGUACUCAAGGAGGGGCUCAUGUCCUAUCAGCUUGUUGGUGGGGUAACGGCCUACCAAGGCUACGACGGGUAGCUGGUCUGAGAGGAUGAUCAGCCACACUGGCACUGAGAUACGGGCCAGACUCCUACGGGAGGCAGCAGUGAGGAAUAUUGCGCAAUGGGCGAAAGCCUGACGCAGCCACGCCGCGUGAGCGAUGAAGGCCUUGGUCGUAAGACUCUGUGGGGGAGGAAGAAAAGACCGGUGAAGAGCCGGACCUGACGGUAUCCCUUACGCAAGCACCGGCUAACUCCGUGCCAGCAGCCGCGGUAAUGUCUAG
rnacentral:rRNA from 1 species